rnacentral:rRNA from 1 species
CCUACGGGUGGCAGCAGUGAGGAAUAUUGGUCAAUGGGCGGAAGCCUGAACCAGCCAAGUCGCGUGCAGGAUGACGGCCCUACGGGUUGUAAACUGCUUUUGUACGGGAAUAACGCCCCUUACGUGUAGCUCUUUGCAUGUACCGUAUGAAUAAGGCUCGGCUAAUUCCGUGCCAGCAGCCGCGGUAAUACGGAAGGUCCGGGCGUUAUCCGGAUUUAUUGGGUUUAAAGGGGGCGUAGGCCGCCUGUCAAGCGUGCUGUGAAAUGUCCGGGCUCAACCCCGGCCUUGCAGCGCGAACUGGCGGGCUUGAGAGGGCGGAAGGUAGGCGGAAUGCGUCGUGUAGCGGUGAAAUGCUGAGAUA